UAGGGAAUCUUCCACAAUGGACGAAAGUCUGAUGGAGCAGCGCCGCGUGAGUGAAGAAGGGUUUCGGCUCGUAAAACUCUGUUGUUAAAGAAGAACAUAUCUGAGAGUAACUGUUCAGGUAUUGACGGUAUUUAACCAGAAAGCCACGGCUAACUACGUGCCAC
rnacentral:rRNA from 1 species